rnacentral:rRNA from 1 species
AGUGAACGCUGGCGGUAGGCCUAACACACGCAAGUCGAACGGCAGCACAGUAAGAGCUUGCUCUUACGGGUGGCGAGUGGCGGACGGGUGAGGAAUACAUCGGAAUCUACUUUUUCGUGGGGGAUAACGUAGGGAAACUUACGCUAAUACCGCAUACGACCUACGGGUGAAAGCAGGGGAUCUUCGGACCUUGCGCGAUUGAAUGAGCCGAUGUCGGAUUAGCUAGUUGGCGGGGUAAAGGCCCACCAAGGCGACGAUCCGUAGCUGGUCUGAGAGGAUGAUAAGCCACACGGGAACUGAGACACGGUCCAGACUCCUACGGGAGGCAGCAGUGGGGAAUAUUGGACAAUGGGCGCAAGCAUGAUCCAGCCAUACCGCGUGGGUGAAGAAGGACUUCGGGUUGUAAAGCCCUUUUGUUGGGAAAGAAAAGCAGCAGGUUAAUACCCCGCUGUUCUGACGGUACCCAAAGAAUAAGCACCGGCUAACUUCGUG